rnacentral:rRNA from 1 species
UUUAGAGAGUUUGAUCCUGGCUCAGGGUGAACGCUGGCGGCGCGCUUAAUGCAUGCAAGUCAAACGAGCCUUCGGGCAAGUGGCAGACGGCUGAGUAACGCGUGAGUAACGCACCCUUCGGUGGGGUAUAGCCUCGGGAAACUGAGGGUAAUCCCGCAUACGAUCCCAAUGCCCUGGUGUUGGGAUGAAAGCCUUCGGGCGCCGGAGGAGUGGCUCGCGUCCUAUCAGGUAGUUGGUGAGGUAAUGGCUCACCAAGCCGAUGACGGGUAGCUGGUCUUAGAGGACGAUCAGCCAGAGGGGGACUGAGACACGGCCCCCACUCCUACGGGAGGCAGCAGCAGGGAAUCUUGGGCAAUGGACGAAAGUCUGACCCAGCGACGUCGCGUGGGGGAUGAAGGCUCUAGGGCUGUAAACCCCUUUUCCGAGGGAAGAGGAAGGACGGUACCUCGGGAAUAAGCUCCGGCUAACUACGUGCCAGCAGCCGCGGUAAUACGUAGGGAGCGAGCGUUACCCGGAAUUACUGGGCGUAAAGAGCACGUAGGCGGUUGGAUAAGUCUUCUGUGAAAGCUCCCGGCUCAACUGGGAGAGGUCAGGGGAUACUAUUUGACUUGAGGGCUGUAGAGGUAAGCGGAAUUCCCGGUGUAGCGGUGAAA